AUGGCAUCGGCGGACUCAUCCACAUCUAGGGUUAAUGGGCGGAAGACGGCGGAGCAGGAGGGAGGGAAGAGGAGGGCAAAGGGAGAUCAGGGGUCGGAGGGUUCGUUGGAUGGAGCCAGGGCGUCGCAGGAAGAUUCGUUGAACGAGAAGCUGAAGUAUAUGAAUCUGAGGGAGGAGAAGGAGGAAGACGUGGUUUUAGAGGAGGAUUUGGAAGAGCUAGAGAAGGAUACUGAAUUCAUGGCGUUGGCUAGGGUCCAUACUAACAAAAAGUUCAAUCAUGGUGCUUUCUAUGGAAAUAUGCGAUCGGCUUGGAACCUAGAGCAAGAAGUGGAGUUUAGGGCAAUAGAGGAUAACCUGUUUUUGGUACAGAUGAGUUGCUUGGGAGAUUGGGAGAGGGUGAUGAACGAAGGGCCGUGGAUAUUCAGAAACUGCCCAGUGUUGUUGGCACAGUAUGAUGGCUGGUCGGAGGUGAAGGAGAUUGAACUCAAUACAUAUCAGGUUUGGAUGAGGGUGAUGGGGUUGAAGGAGAAGAUGAGAACUGCGAGUAUCGCGAGGCAAUUAGCGAGAAAGGCAGGGGAAGUGGUGCGAGUGGACGAGAGGUCAGUGAAAGGCCAAGGUGGGGGGAUCCGAGUGCGAAUCAUCUUGGACGUGAGGAAACCUCUGAUGAGAUGUGCAAGCCUCACCUUAAGGCAGAAGAAGGUAUACUUUGAGUUUGAAUAUGAGAAGAUGCCAGUAUUUUGUGGUGUUUGUGGCCUGGUUAGUCAUGUCGCCAAGGAGCAUGGUAAUGGUGUCCAUGAUGAGAAUGCUAUAAUUUAUCCUAUUUCCUUGAUUGCUCCGGAGUUUAGAAGAGAUGAACAUUGGGUGCAAACAGGCCAGGAGGAGAGAGGUACAUGGAAUAAUCGGGGGGAGAGGAGGACGAGGUGGGGGAGCUUGGAGGAACCAGACAGCUAA
rnacentral:rRNA from 1 species